rnacentral:tRNA from 2 species
GGUGGGAUAUCCAAGUUGGCCAAAGGAAUCUGACUGUAAAUCAGCCGGGCGCAGCCCUUCGGGGGUUCGAAUCCCUCUCCCACCACCA